UACGUAGGGUGCAAGCGUUAAUCGGAAUUACUGGGUGUAAAGCGUGCGCAGGCGGUUGUGCAAGACAGAUGUGAAAUCCCCGGGCUCAACCUGGGAAUUGCAUUUGUGACUGCACGGCUAGAGUGUGUCAGAGGGGGGUAGAAUUCCACGUGUAGCAGUGAAAUGCGUAGAGAUGUGGAGGAAUACCGAUGGCGAAGGCAGCCCCCUGGGAUAACACUGACGCUCAUGCACGAAAGCGUGGGGAGCAAACAGG
rnacentral:rRNA from 1 species